AUUGAACGCUGGCGGAAUGCUUUACACAUGCAAGUCGAACGGCAGCACGGGAGCCUGCUCCUGGUGGCGAGUGGCGAACGGGUGAGUAAUAUAUCGGAACGUAUCCAAUAAUGGGGGAUAACUAAUCGAAAGGUUGGCUAAUACCGCAUACGCCCUGAGGGGGAAAGCUGGGGAUCUUCGGACCUAGCGUUAAUGGAGCGGCCGAUAUCUGAUUAGCUAGUUGGUGAGGUAAAAGCUCACCAAGGCGACGAUCAGUAGCUGGUCUGAGAGGACGACCAGCCACACUGGAACUGAGACACGGUCCAGACUCCUACGGGAGGCAGCAGUGGGGAAUUUUGGACAAUGGGGGAAACCCUGAUCCAGCCAUUCCGCGUGAGUGAAGAAGGCCUUCGGGUUGUAAAGCUCUUUCGCAAGGGAAGAAACGUUACCGGUGAAUAUCCGGUGAUAAUGACGGUACCUUGAUAAGAAGCACCGGCUAACUACGUGCCAGCAGCCGCAGUAA
rnacentral:rRNA from 1 species